rnacentral:rRNA from 1 species
UACGUAGGGUGCGAGCGUUGUCCGGAAUUAUUGGGCGUAAAGAGCUCGUAGGCGGUUUGUUGCGUCUAUCGUGAAAACCUGCAGCUUAACUGUGGGCUUGCGGUGGAUACGGGCAGACUUGAGUUCGGUAGGGGAGACUGGAAUUCCUGGUGUAGCGGUGAAAUGCGCAGAUAUCAGGAGGAACACCGGUGGCGAAGGCGGGUCUCUGGGGCGAUACUGACGCUGAGGAGCGAAAGCGUGGGGAGCGAACAGG